AUCAGCAUCACUUGAAAUCUUAUGUGACUAGAUAGCUCUGAAUACAGAGGCUUGAAGUGAUUUUACUAUUCUGUCAAUCUAAAUUCAUGCCUUGCCGGAAUUCUGUUUGCACUGGAAUUCAAUUAGGUGACAGUAAUGCAUAAAAUGCUGCUUAGGAACACUAACCCUCUGGGAUGUAUCACCUUAUUGAGGACAUGACUAAAGACACUUGAUGUAUCAUGUAGCUUUAUAGUUCAUACCUUAGAAAAUCUGAUGAACAUAUGAACUUCAACCUGACGGAAUAAUAUACAUCUCUGUAGUCUUUGUUGGUCAGUGCAUUUAUGUUUAUGAAAUAGUUUAUAUUGCACACCAUGUUUUCGUAGUCUUCUGCUUUGCCAUUUUCAAAAUGAAGGAAGCAGCAAAAAAUAAUUUGUCACUUUGAACAAAUGAGUGAAAGUUUCUUCAUAAGCAAGUUAAACUUAUGGACAGGAUUGACUGAAAUUUCCCGUACCUGCCUUUACAGCCAUUUAGAUCUGAAACAGAAAAAUAUAAAUGAAGUUUACACUAGUGAAAGUUAAGCACGUCAUGUCAAGGUGGCUGUAGUUCAUUUUCCUAUAUUUAUGAAUCCCGUGUUUCAUUUCAUGGAAAGCAGUUAUCAUGAUUCAUGGAUAACUCAUCCAUGGUACUUUCCGAAGUUGAUGCGUUGAGUGAUUUGAUGUCCAUAUUAUUGAUGCAUGCAUAUGUGUAUUUCUUAUCUGUCCAUUUUUUUCUCCUGCAAUUUGUUUGACUUGCUGCUAGCAUU